rnacentral:rRNA from 1 species
GAUGAACGCUAGCGGCGGGCUUAAUACAUGCAAGUCGAACGGUAACAGGUCUUCGGACGCUGACGAGUGGCGCACGGGUGCGUAACGCGUACACAACCUACCCUAAAGAGGGGGAUAGCUCCGGGAAACUGGGAAUAAUACCCCAUAGUACUACUAAGUUGCAUAAUUUGGUAGUUAAAGGUUUACUGCUUUAGGAUGGGUGUGCGAGCCAUUAGGUAGUUGGAGAGGUAACGGCUCACCAAGCCGACGAUGGCUAGCUGGUCUGAGAGGAUGAUCAGCCACACGGGCACUGAGACACGGGCCCGACUCCUACGGGAGGCAGCAGUAAGGAAUAUUGGACAAUGGGCGAAAGCCUGAUCCAGCCACGCCGCGUGCAGGAGUGACGGUCCGUAUGGAUUGUAAACUAGCUUUUGUUCAGAGACGAAAGUAGUAUGAUUUAUCAUAUUUUGUACGGUAUCUGGCGAAUAAGCACCGGCUAACUACGUGCCAGCAGCCG